GGGGUCUGUGAUGAUGCUCUCGGUGUUCGAGUCUCACGACCGUGAGAACACCCCAUCCAUGCACUACCAUCUGAGACUGC
ensembl:snoRNA SNORD33 Small nucleolar RNA Z195/SNORD33/SNORD32 family